UAAGCGAGACAGAAAAAAAAAAGAAAAAAAAAGAAAGAAGAAAAAGUUGGCGUUGAACUUGUGCUUCGUGAAUGACGCCAGCCACUGUUUUGUCAAUUUCUUUCCAACUCGCGAGUUUUUUCUGUAAAUAUACUAGAGGGAGUUGUUGUU
rnacentral:ribozyme from 14 species